AACCGACUGUGACAGUCUGGUCCAACCUCUGGAAAUCCAAGGACCGGAGCAGUUGCUGGGGAAGUGGAUGCGUGUAGCAGUGAGCUCAAACUACAAGAAAUUGGAGAUGGUGGUAAAGAAUUUUCAGGACAGCGUCUGGAUGAAACUAACCGCUGAUAACGAGAGUGAUGUCAUCACUCUAACAACAGCAGAAAAAACGUUUGGAAUUUGUCUCAGAUUUACAACUAAGCUGACAGUAAGAAACAACACAUUCCUGUGUAAGUAUGCAAAUUGUA